UACGUAGGGUGCGCGCGUUGUCCGGAAUUACUGGGCGUAAAGAGCUCGUAGGUGGUUUGUCGCGUUGUUCGUGAAAUCCCACGGCUUAACUGUGGGCGUGCGGGCGAUACGGGCAGACUGGAGUACUGCAGGGGAGACUGGAAUUCCUGGUGUAGCGGUGGAAUGCGCAGAUAUCAGGAGGAACACCGGUGGCGAAGGCGGGUCUCUGGGCAGUAACUGACGCUGAGGAGCGAAAGCGUGGGGAGCGAACAGG
rnacentral:rRNA from 1 species